UACGUAGGGGGCUAGCGUUAUCCGGAAUUACUGGGCGUAAAGGGAGCGUAGGCGGACUUUUAAGUGAGAUGUGAAAUACCCGAGCUCAACUUGGGUGCUGCAUUUCAAACUGGAAGUCUAGAGUGCAGGAGAGGAGAAUGGAAUUCCUAGUGUAGCGGUGAAAUGCGUAGAGAUAUGGAGGAACACCAGUGGCGAAGGCGGCUUCCUGGUCUGUAACUGACACUGAGGCGCGAAAGCGUGGGGAGCAAACAGGAUUAGAUACCCCGGUAGU
rnacentral:rRNA from 1 species